GAUGAAGAACGUAGCGAAAUGCGAUAAGUAAUGUGAAUUGCAGAAUUCAGAGAAUCAUCGAAUCUUUGAACGCACAUUGCGCCCCCUGGCAUUCCGGGGGGCAUGCCUGUCCGAGCGUCAUUUCUGCCCUCCAGCCCGGCUGGGUGUUGGGCGCUGUCCCCCCGGGGACACGCCCCAAAGGCAGUGGCGGCGCCGCGUCGGGUCCUCGAGCGUAUGGGGCUUUGUCACCCGCUCGGGACGGACUCGUCGGCGCUGGUCUUCCUCCAGGCGACCCUUCGGGGCUCGUCUUCCUUCGGUUGACCUCGGAUCAGGUAGGGUUACCCGCUGAACUUAAGCAUAUCAAUAAGCGGAGGA
rnacentral:misc_RNA from 1 species